AUUGAACGCUGGCGGCAGGCCUAACACAUGCAAGUCGAGCGGAGCGGCUGACGGGUGAGUAAUGCCUAGGAAUCUGCCUGGUCGUGGGGGAUAACGUCCGGAAACGGGAGCUAAUACCGCAUACUAUUAGAUUAGCUUAGGUCGGAGUAGCUGGUGGGUGGGGUAAAGGCCUACAAAGGCGACGAUCCGUAACUGGCCUGAGAGGAGGAUCGGUAAAACGGGAACUGAGAAACGGUCCAGACUCUGACGGGGGGCAGCAGUGGGGAAUAUUGGACAAUGGGCGAAAGCCGGAUCCAGCCAGGCGGCGGGGGUGAAGAAGGUCUUCGGAUGGUAAAGCACGUUAAGUGGGGAGGCGUUACCAACAGAAUAAGCACCGGCUAACUUCGUGCCAGCAGCCGCGGUAAUAC
rnacentral:rRNA from 1 species